UACAGAGGUCUCAAGCGUUUGUUCGGAUUCAUUGGGCGUAAAGGGUGUGUAGGUGGCGCCGUAAGUCGGGUGUGAAAUUUCGGAGCUUAACUCCGAAACUGCAUUCGAUACUGCGGUGCUUGAGGACUGGAGAGGAGACUGGAAUUCAUGGUGUAGCAGUGAAAUGCGUAGAGAUCAUGAGGAAGACCAGUGGCGAAGGCGGGUCUCUGGACAGUUCCUGACGCUGAGGCGCGAAGGCCAGGGGAGCAAACGGG
rnacentral:rRNA from 1 species